rnacentral:tRNA from 1 species
GGAAGGGUGGCUGAGCGGUUGAAAGCACCAGUCUUGAAAACUGGCGUGGGUUUACGCCCACCGAGGGUUCGAAUCCCUCCUCUUCCGCCA